CCGUCGUCAGUUCGUACCUGUAAAGCGUUCUGUUAAGUCAGAUAACGAACGAGACCCUCAUCUCUAUUUGCUACCCUUCUCUCCGGAGGAGGCGCACCAUAGAGAGACCGCUGGUGCUAAACCAGAGGAAGGCGAGGGCAACGACAGGUCAGUAUGCCCCGAAUGUCAUGGGCUACACGCGCGCUACAAAGGACGGGACAAUGGGAAGCCAGAUCGAGAGAUCGAGCUAACCCGAAACCCGUUCAUAGUUCGGAUUGUGGGCUGUAACUCGCCCACAUGAAGCUGGAUUGCGUAGUAAUCGUGUUUCAACAUAGCACGGUGAAUAUGCCCCUGCUCCUUGCACACACCGCCCGUCAAACCAUCUUAGUUGGGGGUGGGUGAGGCUGCGCUUUAUGGCGUAUUCGAGCCUGUCUUUAACAAGGAGGGUUAAGUCGUAACAAGGUAACC
rnacentral:rRNA from 1 species